rnacentral:rRNA from 1 species
CGGGAACGUAUUCACCGUGGCAUUCUGAUCUACGAUUACUAGCGAUUCCGACUUCAUGGAGUCGAGUUGCAGACUCCAAUCCGGACUACGACGCACUUUUUGGGAUUCGCUCACUUUCGCAAGUUGGCUGCCCUCUGUAUGCGCCAUUGUAGCACGUGUGUAGCCCUACUCGUAAGGGCCAUGAUGACUUGACGUCGUCCCCACCUUCCUCCGGUUUAUCACCGGCAGUCUCCCUGGAGUUCCCGACAUUACUCGCUGGCAAACAAGGAUAAGGGUUGCGCUCGUUGCGGGACUUAACCCAACAUUUCACAACACGAGCUGACGACAGCCAUGCAGCACCUGUCUCAGAGUUCCCGAAGGCACCAAUCCAUCUCUGGAAAGUUCUCUGGAUGUCAAGAGUAGGUAAGGUUCUUCGCGUUGCAUCGAAUUAAACCACAUGCUCCACCGCUUGUGCGGGCCCCCGUCAAUUCAUUUGAGUUUUAAUCUUGCGACCGUACUCCCCAGGCGGUCUACUUAACGCGUUAGCUCCGAAAGCCACGGCUCAAGGCCACAACCUCCAAGUAGACAUCGUUUACGGCGUGGACUACCAGGGGUAUCUAAUCCUGUUUGCUCCCCACGCUUUCGCAUCUGAGUGUCAGUAUCUGUCCAGGGGG